CCCCUAGAUGUUCUGGGCCGCACGCGCGCUACACUGAACAGUUCAACAAGUCUUAACCUUGGCCGAUAGGUCUGGGUAAUCUUUGAACGCUGUUCGUGAUUGGGAUAGACCUUUGCAAUUAUGGGUCUUCAACGAGGAAUUCCUAGUAAACGCAAGUCAUCAGCUCGCAUUGAUUACGUCCCUGCCCUUUGUACACACCGCCCGUCGCACCUACCGAUUGAAUGGUCCGGUGAAAUCUCGGGACGGCGGCUUGGUCGCUUGCGUCCGACUGCUGAAACUUGAUUAAACCAUAUCAUUUAGAGGAAGGUGAAGUCGUANCA
rnacentral:rRNA from 1 species